rnacentral:lncRNA from 1 species
ACCGGUUGAAAUGUUAGGGUUUGCGUGAGAUGAAAGUGUGUGAGUCAGAUUGAAUUUUUCAGAGCUGCCUGGGGGUUGCUCUGAGUUCUCUGUCAGGUUCCUCUCCAGGUUUUGUUUCAAGGAAACCUCAUCGUAUUUUUGCUUCUCUUCAUUUUUCUGUCUGAUCUCCCUCUUUUAUAACCUGAUUUUCAUGACUUUGUGGGCUCAAAUGAGAGAGGUCCAAGUCCAAGUUUUUUCUAUUAUAUUUU